ACACGACUACAUUAGAUACCCGGGUAGUCCCAGCCCUAAACGAUGCGCGUUAGGUGUAUCGGUGACCACGAGUCACCGAGGUGCCGAAGGGAAACCGUGAAACGUGCCGCCUGGGAAGUACGGUCGCAAGGCUGAAACUUAAAGGAAUUGGCGGGGAGCACCACAACGGGUGGAGCCUGCGGUUUAAUUGGACUCAACGCCGGGAAGCUUACCGGAUAAGACAGCGGAAUGAUUGCCGGGCUGAAGACUCUGCAUGACCAGCUG
rnacentral:rRNA from 1 species